rnacentral:tRNA from 1 species
GCCCGCCUGGCCCAAUUGGUAGAGGCGCUGCAUUCAAAGUGCAGGUGUUCCCGGUUCAAGUCCGGGGGCGGGCA